AUUGAACGCUGGCGGCAGGCUUAACACAUGCAAGUCGAGCGAGGCGCGGACGGGUGAGUAAUGUCUGGGAAACCGCCUGAUGGAGGGGGAAAACCUCUGGAAACGGUCUCAUAUCCCGCAUACCAUCAUAUGUGCCCAUAUGGGAUUAGCUAGUAGGUAGGGUAAUGGCUCACCUAGGCGACGAUCCCUAGCUGGUCUGAGAGGAUGACCAGCCACACUGGGACUGAGACACGGCCCAGACUCCUACGGGAGGCAGCAGUGGGGAAUAUUGCACAAUGGGCGCAAGCCUGAUGCAGCCAUGCCGCGUGUGUGAAGAAGGCCUUCGGGUUGUAAAGCACUUUCAGCGGGGAGGCGUUACUCGCAGAAGAAGCACCGGCUAACUCCGUGCCAGCAGCCGCGGUAAUAC
rnacentral:rRNA from 1 species